UACAGAGGGUGCAAGCGUUGUUCGGAAUUACUGGGCGUAAAGCGCGUGUAAACAACAACGUAAGUCGAAUGUGAAAGCCCUUGGCUUAACCAAGGAAGUGCAUUCGAUACUGUGUCGCUUGAGUACCGGAGGGGAUGGCGGAAUUCCUGGUGUAGAGGUGAAAUUCGUAGAUAUCAGGAGGAACACCUGUGGCGAAGGCGGCCAUCUGGACGGUGACUGACGCUGAGACGCGAAAGCGUGGGUAGCAAACAGG
rnacentral:rRNA from 1 species